GUGAAUCAUCGAAUCUUUGAACGCAUAUUGCGCCCUCUAGUAUUCUAGGAGGCAUGCCUGUUCGAGCGUCAUUUCAACCCUCAGGCACAGCCUGGUGUUAGGGCUCUGCGCCUGCAGUCCCCGAAAUACAGUGGCGGUUCUUCUAAAAAACCCUGCGUAGUACUACUUCUCGCUUGGUAUUUUAGGCGGCCCAGCCUCUCUUACCCCUUAUAAAGUUGACCUCGGAUCAGGUAGGAAUACCCGCUGAACUUAAGCAUAUCAAUAAGCGGAGGA
rnacentral:misc_RNA from 1 species